rnacentral:tRNA from 1 species
GGAGAGGUCGCAUAGUGGCCUAGUGCGUCGCCUUGGAAAGGCGGUAUAUCCGCAAGGGUAUCGAGGGUUCGAAUCCCUCCCUCUCCGCCA